AGAUUAACACCGAUCUAUAUGAUUGUCUUGGCUUUUUUUGCUACCGUUUUACCUUUAAUGGGAUCAGGACCUUUUUGGUAUUGGUUUGACUUUAAAGUUGAAGAACAUUGCCAGAACACUUGGUGGCGGAACCUCCUUUAUAUCAGUAAUUUUCAGGAUUUACUUGACCAGUGCAUGCCUUGGUCUUGGUAUCUUGCUAAUGAAAUGCAAUUCUUCAUCCUCAGUCCCAUAUUUUUGAUAACACUCUGGAGGUAAAUUUACAAGGAACAUUUUAAACUUGUACACACGCGAAUGAACGGAAAACGACUAACGUGGUUCAACAUAAAAUGUAGACAAUGAAUUGAAAAAUUAUGAAUAAUAAUAAAGAAAGUUAGCAAAUUUGUAAUAAAUAUGAAAAAAUUCA